CGUACCAGUGGCAGCAUUUCCA
rnacentral:miRNA from 1 species